rnacentral:rRNA from 1 species
AGAGUUUGAUCCUGGCUCAGGAUGAACGCUGGCGGCGUGCCUAACACAUGCAAGUCGAGCGAUUUACUUCGGUAAAGAGCGGCGGACGGGUGAGUAACGCGUGGGUAACCUGCCCUGUACACACGGAUAACAUACCGAAAGGUAUGCUAAUACGAGAUAAUAUGAGAAAGUCGCAUGGCUUUCUUAUCAAAGCUCUGGCGGUACAGGAUGGACCCGCGUCUGAUUAGCUAGUUGGUAAGGUAACGGCUUACCAAGGCGACGAUCAGUAGCCGACCUGAGAGGGUGAUCGGCCACAUUGGAACUGAGACACGGUCCAAACUCCUACGGGAGGCAGCAGUGGGGAAUAUUGCACAAUGGGCGAAAGCCUGAUGCAGCAACGCCGCGUGAGCGAUGAAGGCCUUCGGGUCGUAAAGCUCUGUCCUCAAGGAAGAUAAUGACGGUACUUGAGGAGGAAGCCCCGGCUAACUACGUGCCAGCAGCCGCGGUAAUACGUAGGGGGCUAGCGUUAUCCGGAAUUACUGGGCGUAAAGGGUGCGUAGGCGGUCUUUCAAGUCAGGAGUGAAAGGCUACGGCUCAACCGUAGUAAGCUCUUGAAACUGUAAGACUUGAGUGCAGGAGAGGAGAGUAGAAUUCCUAGUGUAGCGGUGAAAUGCGUAGAUAUUAGGAGGAAUACCAGUUGCGAAGGCGGCUCUCUGGACUGUAACUGACGCUGAGGCACGAAAGCGUGGGGAGCAAACAGGAUUAGAUACCCUGGUAGUCCACGCCGUAAACGAUGAGUACUAGCUGUCGGAGGUUACCCCCUUCGGUGGCGCAGCUAACGCAUUAAGUACUCCGCCUGGGAAGUACGCUCGCAAGAGUGAAACUCAAAGGAAUUGACGGGGACCCGCACAAGUAGCGGAGCAUGUGGUUUAAUUCGAAGCAACGCGAAGAACCUUACCUAAGCUUGACAUCCUUUUGACCGAUGCCUAAUCGCAUCUUUCCUUUCGGGGACAGAAGUGACAGGUGGUGCAUGGUUGUCGUCAGCUCGUGUCGUGAGAUGUUGGGUUAAGUCCCGCAACGAGCGCAACCCUUGCCUUUAGUUGCCAGCAUUAAGUUGGGCACUCUAGAGGGACUGCCAGGGAUAACCUGGAGGAAGGUGGGGAUGACGUCAAAUCAUCAUGCCCCUUAUGCUUAGGGCUACACACGUGCUACAAUGGGUGGUACAGAGGGCAGCCAAACCGUGAGGUGGAGCUAAUCCCUUAAAGCCAUUCUCAGUUCGGAUUGUAGGCUGAAACUCGCCUACAUGAAGCUGGAGUUACUAGUAAUCGCAGAUCAGAAUGCUGCGGUGAAUGCGUUCCCGGGUCUUGUACACACCGCCCGUCACACCACGGAAGUUGGGGGCGCCCGAAGCCGGAUAGCUAACCUUUUGGAAGCGUCCGUCGAAGGUGAAAUCAAUAACUGGGGUGAAGUCGUAACAAGGUAGCCGUAUCGGAAGGUGCGGCUGGAUCACCU